rnacentral:tRNA from 2 species
GAGGCUUUAGCUUAUUUAAAGCAUUUGUUUUGCAUGCAGAAGAUGUGAGGUAGGACCUUGCAAGCCUUA